GGAUUAGAUACCCUGGUAGUCCACGCCGUAAACGAUGGUUACUAGCUGUUCGGUUUUCGGACUGAGUGGCUAAGCGAAAGUGAUAAGUAACCCACCUGGGGAGUACGUUCGCAAGAAUGAAACUCAAAGGAAUUGACGGGGGCCCGCACAAGCGGUGGAGCAUGUGGUUUAAUUCGAUGAUACGCGAGGAACCUUACCAGGGCUUAAAUGUAGAUUGACAGGACCAGAGAUGGUUUUUUCUUCGGACAAUUUACAAGGUGCUGCAUGGUUGUCGUCAGCUCGUGCUG
rnacentral:rRNA from 1 species